rnacentral:lncRNA from 1 species
UUUUUUUUUUUUUUUUUUUGUAUUUUUAGUGGAGGUGGGUUUUCACCGUGUUAGGCAAGAUGGUCUCAAUCUCCUGACCUCAUGAUCCGCCCACUUCGGCCUUCCAAAGUGCUGGGAUUGCAGGCAUGAGCCACUGCACCCGGCCUGACUAUGAAGGAUUUUUAAGUUGGGAACAAAAGAAAUCAUCUUGGUUUUUCUCCAAAGGUCACUGAAAGACCUAUAGGCCAAAAAGUUGACCACAUGUUCAACAGGACAUGAAAAUAUGGCUCACCUCACAGCCUUAUUUAUAAUGGCUGGCCUUCCACACAAAUUCUGCCUUCUACCUGGCCUAAUCUGAAUCCAAUCAUCACCAGGUUAUUAGUCCCUCUCUCCCCAAAGGUCUGCAUAGCUCCCUGUCCUCAGUUACUUCUUGUCUCUUCUUUGAAAGCACACAUGCACAUUCACACACACAUACACCCUCAUCUUUCCUUUUUCAUGAACCUUCAGAGUAGCUCUGCCCUCUCCACUUUGUGUGUUUGGAAGGAAAGAAAGCGAAAUAUAUGAGAUGCCAAUGCAAUUUCUCCUUUAGUAGAGCUCAGCAGGACAAUUACCCACCCAAUCUGCCUGGUUUUAUAGCUCUCAUAACCUUUCUUUAUGAACACGCUGUGACAGCCGGAUGUAGGCAUUGAUUAUGGCAGCAGUCUUCAGCCACAUUCCUAUUUAACUGCAAAGCAGAGCUCCUGCCUACCAGCCCAGCACUGAUCAUGUGACUUUUUAAAUUACUGUAUUUAUGGAAGCCUUUUCCCAACCAGAGCCUGUGUCCAACUCCAUCAAAACUGGGGAAGAUUUGAGCUCACCACUUCCCCUCCAGUGGCUCUUUGGCCCUACAGCCUAGGGUCUCUUGCUGGAAUCAAACUGGGGCUCUGGGCUUUCUUAGGAGAGGUCUGCAAGAGUUAGGGUGCACAAGAAGCAUACCUUUUUCUUUAUGAAAGAGCUGAGGAAAUAGACAAUGAAACAUGUUGGCAGAUGCCAAGGGCAGUGGCUUGGUUGCCAGGGGUUCAUCUGGCAAUGGUGCUGGUGGAAGAGAUCAGCAAAACCCACAGGAUAGGUUGUUGUUGUUGAGGGGCGGGUAUCGGAAAGGAAUUUGGGAGAAUUAGAGCACGGAGUUAGGAAUUACUGUUUGUAGGCCUUUCCACUCUGGACCCCAGGGGAAUCAUAUGGACUCUAGCCAGUGGGAGAGGGAAGUUUUAGUGUUCCAAAGAAAUCCUGGUAGCCUUGCAGGCAGUCUGUCCUGACCAAGGACUCUGCCUGCCUGUGCCAUGGU